GAAGGCGCUAGGCGCAGGCUCUCAACCGGUCGGGCCCAUCGUCCCUACAGCGGCGGAGACAAGCCCCUGGCAGCCUGGCAGGCGUGAGGGCCGCUUCCUUCUCGGCUGGCCCUGGGCCAUGGCGAAGAGUGCGACCGCAUGUAAGCCUCAACCUCGAUGGACAUCGGCGAGGACCGGCGCAGCGGACCAGCCACACCACCCCGAUGCUUGAGGCGUUGAACGCAGAGCCGAGGACAAGCACCGCUGCAGGCUGCAGCAUAUUCCGGCCACCGGUGAGAAGGCGGUCGUGGCCGUCAGGGCGGUGGCGAGGCGAGGCUCCAGAUCAUGGAGUUUCUGAUUCUGAGUUUUCAUUCUGCAACGCAGGAGAUAUGUUGAUGGCUGCUUGAAGCAUUGCUUGAACAAGGACUCAAAGAAAUCAGGUGUUUUCUUUCUUUUUCAUGUAUUUUGCAGAAAACCCUUUACACUUUCUGUGAAUAAACCUGCAGUACACACUUAAGUCACAGCUAAACCGUUAUUUUACCUUUUUCGAAAACCCUCUGACUUUUUAGGCACUUCAACCGCGGGUCAUAUUAAAUCAAACAAGUGAUUUUCUAAAUAAUCCAUGUCUUUUGAACCGUAACUCCAAUUUUAACACGUUAUACAUAAAAUUUGAUUAAAAAAUGUGUAGAAUCUAAAUAUUAUGUUAUUUUUACCUGUUAAAUAUUUUUUAAAUAUUAUUUGCCGUUUUUCUUUCGUACCGGAGGCUAUCCGGUUGCAAAUAAACACUCACUAAAAUCACAUAGAGACAAAAGAAAACAUCGAUAACCACACAUGUACACCUCUGAAAACCCUCACAGGGAAAAACAACAGAUUUUUCAUCGGGCGCGCGCGAGAGAGAGGGCGAGAGACGCCUUAAGAUUAACCACAUUCAAAACGUUUUGAUUUGUGUGAACACUGAAGCCACCGUCGGCGAGGGUGAGAAGGAGGAUAAGCGGCAAUACAAAUGUGAUGCCAGUCUAAAAUAAAGGAUGUGGACCUAUUGUGGUCUUGAGUGAUGGUUAUUGAGUUAAGAACAUGUGUUAUUUUUCUUCCGUUGCAACGCACGGGCUCUUUUGUUAGUGUUGCCUAAAAGGCAUUUAUCUGGUUGUGAGGAAGAAUAUAAUAAUUGUAUAUCGGUUAUUGGAACCUGAAAAUGUAUCACCGCUGAGAGAACAACAACCUAUCAUAUAGGGAAACGUUUAGAGUCGGGCCCAUUUUACCGGGCUUGCACAAGAGCCUCUAGCAUAUUAGGGCCGGCCUUGCGUACAACUUAAAUACCAGAAAUCUAACGGAAACAUGGCCGUCGCGCUUGCCCUCCGCCAUCACACCCUCGCCCUAGGCUGCUUGCACUUGCCAGCCAUUCGGCGGCACCCGUGCUCGCCCCCAGCCGACCGCGCUCAUCGUCUCUCGUCGUCAUUGUGGAAUACGCCUCGCUGGUCACAAAAGCCUUGCCAUCAUCAUCGCAGCAAUUUCCGUUGUAGGUCAUAGCAAAUGCCGAUCACACAGUUGCAACAAAAAAUGUCGUCGAUUGUAGCUCGCCGUGCCUGCUGAGUUGCAGCACUUGGCGAAAAUCGACCUCACUGGUUCGCAGCAACCCACCACCAACAUCUCUUUUCAUGCUCAUGUCGUGCUUGAAGUAGCGUGGUAGUUCAUGAAUGGAUGCAGCUCCCCUAAAUGCUCUUCUUCAACCAGAGAACAGUGCACGUACCGAGCCAUUGUUCCCGACCGCCCGAUGCCAUCCACGCCAUCAUUUCCUACCCGAGCUAGCUCCACCUCCGCCGGAUCCAGCCAGCAGCUGUACUGGCGUCCUGAGGUCGCGAUCAGGACCUCGUUUCAGCGCCAUCGCCACCUCGCACACGCACGUAUGGGACAUCUGGUGAUCGGGGUCCGACGCCUCCUUGUGCACGCCACCAUUAUCCUUGAGCUCUUCGGCCAGCCGAGUGCUGCGGGAGGGUAAGGACCUCCGCCUGCAUCACCAUGCUCGUCAUGUUGUCCAUUGGCACAGCAAUAUGGAUGAAAAGAGCCAUGGAGAAGCUGGCUGAACGCGUGUCCCAGCACCAAGACAAUUAACAGUGUUUCGCAGUUUCGGUUCCCGGGUCACAACUCGAAGCCUCAUCAUUUUUUUUCCUUCAUAUUGGAUCUUGGUUCCGUCUUUGUUUGGUACACAUAGAGUUCCUCUCUCUUGAGUCCAUCGUGGAUCUUUUAUUGUUUUUUUUCCUUCAAUGCUUGGAAAUGAAAAAGUAGAUAUUUCAUGCUCUCUUUUUUUGUUCAUGAGACGGUCAAGAUCUGGUUCGUGAAAUUUGCAUGGUUACUUUUCUUGUUUGUUCAUGAAACUCCGAAGAAACAUUUUCAUGAUUCUUUGUUCAUGCAUGAUCUGUAUUUCUUAGAUCAGCUUUGUUUGCUCACAAUAGUGACUACGAUGAAAUGGCUCCAAAUAAAAAUCAGAGUGGAAAAUUCUGAUAAUAAUUCGUUGCCUAGCCGAGUGAAACUAUUUUGAAGAUGUAGAAGGAACGCAAACAUAUGAAACUUGUUAAACAUGAUUAUAACUGAUGGAACAUCUAGGAAACUGACAAAACAUCCCUUAAAUUUAGCUCAACUAGAACUGAAACUACUGCCAAAAUUAUUAAUUUCCUGCUCAUCUUGUAUUCAUAGAGUUUCGUCAUAGAUGUUAUUAGAAAACAAAUCCAAAAGGGCCUGGCUUUCUGAGAAAACUACAAGUACAAGCCAACUGGGGUUGCCAGGCCGUUGUAGAUGUUUCACAUGAAUUUUUAUACAUGCAUGUUUCAGGAAGGUUUGGAAACAAGUUUCAAUCAUUUUACUGGACAUGGUUCAAAGAUCAUAUACCUGCGCAUGAACAUUAAGACAUCAAAUAUUAAAAUUCAUUCAACAAUUUCUUUCUAUUAUCUCUAUAAAAAAAUAAAAAAUCCGAUCCUUUUUUUUCUCUCUGAAAAAUAUUGAACUUGGUGGAUAAAACUACAACCGCGAGCAAAAAUAAAACUAGUGGUUCAUGUCGAAUGAGCUAGGGAUUGUUGUUCGUAACAAUAGCCAAUAAUUAGAUAAAGAAAUUUGGGUAAAGUUCUGCAAUAAGGGGAAUAUCGGAGACCGAAUAGGUUAGGGCUCAAAUAUGUUUUUGCAAAACACCACCUGAUUCACAAAGUGGAGUGAAUGGUUUGCUAUUCUCCCCAUCUCCCUCUCUCUGGUCUCCGGUCUCUAUCAGUUGCAUUUGGUGGCAUUAAUUCUCGCGAUAGCCUCUAGAACUGCACUGCAUGACCGCCCAAUAGCAACUUUCAGACCACAAAAUCAUGGAAUCAAAACACAACUUUCAAUCAUAGUUACGUUCACAUGGAAGAAAUUAAGCAACAUACGUGUGGAAUAAGAGUACCGGUCAGAAGCCGGGUGGGAAACACGCGUAGGAGAGCAUCCAGCAGAGUUGAUCACGCGUGAGGAACGAGGGCUAGUAUUCAUGUAUUGGAAGCAACCUUGACUUUUUGUACCUAACAGUACUAGUACCCCAGGUUGCGUGGCCGGCCUGAGAUAAGCGGCGAGUUCAGUCAUCGAUUGGAUGUCGUGGAUGGGAAAUCACUGGCCAUGACUUAUCGCUCAACCACAUUAUUAUUCCAUGAAAAGGAAAGCAAUGAAGACUACGGACUUAUCGCUCAACUACAUUACUGUACAAAUUAUUCCAGUACAAUUAAAUCGAGGAAGGCAAUGGAUUACUAAUCAACCACAUUACUGUAUUGAUUAUUCCCUGAAAACCAAAUCGAUGAGGCCUACAGAUGAACGCUCGACCACUGUACUGUAUUAAUUAUACUCAGAAAAUUAAAUUGAGG